rnacentral:rRNA from 1 species
UACGUAGGGUGCAAGCGUUGUCCGGAAUUAUUGGGCGUAAAGAGCUCGUAGGCGGUUUGUCGCGUCUGCGGUGAAAACUCAGGGCUUAACCCUGAGCCUGCAGUGGGUACGGGCAGACUAGAGUGUGGUAGGGGAGAUCGGAAUUCCUGGUGUAGCGGUGGAAUGCGCAGAUAUCAGGAGGAACACCGGUGGCGAAGGCGGAUCUCUGGGCCAUAACUGACGCUGAGGAGCGAAAGCAUGGGGAGCGAACAGG